CCUAUUGAAGUGAGUUAAAGAAAACGUUAUUUAAUAGAAACUUGAUCUUAUUUUACAUUCUUCAGCGUUUAGUUAGCGUGACUGAUCAAAAGCAAUUCAUAUAUUAAAACCACGUAAUUGUGGAAACGGAAAUAAUGCAACCUAUUUAUUAAAAGAAAGUAAUGCACGAUUGACACGGUCGUUAGUUGCCAACGUAGUUAUUAAAAAAUGAAUGUAGUAAAUCAAUUAUAAAAUAGGUAUCUGAUGUUUAAAUCGCCGAAAAGUAGAAGUAUGAAAAAUAAACAGUUUCCAAGGAUAUAUAAUAGUAUGUUGACGUCGUGAGAUUUGCAUUUAUCCAUUCCGUCAUUUUUCAUAUCCAAAAAUGUCACGCACUCGCCAUCAUCAUUGAUACAAGGUUAGCAAAUAUAAACCUUACUUGAACGUAUUAAGGUUACUUUUACAGCGUACGAUAUCGCUCACUUAUAACUCUAAUAAUAUAAGCAUUAUUCGUGAUAUAAUCCCAACUCGCGACGAAUAAAAAACCCUGUAUUUGCGUUCAAAGGGUUCGUUACUACAAAAAGUCGGGAAACGCUCAUAGGUUACGGUGCCCGCUUACCAUCGGCCGAAUGUCUUGUUUGCAACCACUGCGGUAUAAAUAAAAUCAGCACAGGACCAUAACUCUCAGUCUGUCGUGUGGAAAUAACUAAUAAUCUUACAAAUCACUAGCUUUUUCCAGAAGUAAAUUACAAACAUCACUUGUUUAUACUAUUGGUUAUUAUUACUAUCAAUCUAGUGCGUGAAGUGAAAGUACGCUACGUCAUACGAGGAAAACCCCAUUUUUCUUCACUGAUUAUGCGUUGCGUGCGCAAUUGCACUUUUUUUUGCUAUUACGAAUUGCUUUCCAUUUUUUCUGAUUUAUAAUACUACUUCUACAAUGUAUCCGGAUGAUGGUUGGACGAAUGCUCGGCAUUUGCCGUUUCGUCAUCGGAUUAACCCUUAAAUGCAUUAUGAUGUAGAUCUACAUCGUAUAUUUUGAUUGCCCGUGGCUCAAUAGAAAUAUACAUACAUACAUUUAAGAAAUUAUACAAUACAUAUUUAUUUACAUUAAUCAUGCAUUUUAAGGACUAAAUGAGUAGUACAGGGGCUGGUUGUAAGAUGGCUUUUGUCGUUAGGUUUUUUAAAAGUUAGGUAGUGAUUUAUUUAUUUAGAAAAUGUACUUAUAUAAAGUUGACGGUCUGUAUUUGAAUUUUAACGUAUUACACAGUUCUGAAAUAAAUAAAUGGAUGAAGGGCAGUUAUUCCUUUGCAAUUAAUAAAAGUUGAAUUAUUCCAAAGUUUACAGAUAAAAUACCUACUCGUGAUUUUCUGCUUUAAAGUAAAUUGAAUAAAUCCUAUAUUUGAGACAGAAAAAUACUUACAUAUGACGAUGCGCUGAGGGAUGAUAGUUUUAAAAUUAUACAAAUAUAACAGUUGUAUAAUUACACACAUCUUGAAAAGUUCGUAUACCGGUACGUUAGGAUAGUCACUUAGUUUCUGUGCCUUUUCCGCUGACAUCCAUUGUGACACUUAUUAUGCAUUAAAACCGAGUAAUACCUACAGUCGCCUGCAAUAAUAUGUUACACAACGAAGGCCGCAAAUAAAUAUCUGACACAAUCUUAUUUGUAGAGCCAUAAGAGCGGGUCACAUAUUAUUGCGGCCUUCGAAGAGUAAUAUAUUAUUGCAGGUGACUGUACUAUUCUAUCUUAUUGUUGGAUUCUUGACUACGAUACUACUUGCGUUUGUCUAAAACUCUUGCAUGUACUUAGAUGAAAAGUUAUAUAGUUGUGAAUGGGAAAGCUUUCAAAAGUAUUAGCAAUUUUUAGGUCUUAUGUCUUUAAUGUAAGAUUUAAAUGUUGUUAUUUCGGAUAGUCGGAAUGGUAAAAGGGUCCCAGUGGUAACCGAUCAAGCAUUUAUUAUUUAUGUAUCACGAAAAUUGUAUAAGGUUAUAAGAAAGAGGAAACGUGUUUGCUAGGGCUUGUGGUUUUUUUAUUAAAAAAUAAACAAUGACGUUCAGAAAUUUGCUUUUACUUUGUAUAAGGUAGCUCUUAGGACUAAGAACUAUUUGAUCAUUUUACAUUAUAAUCUUGGUUGUCCGAAUCGAAAGUAGGAGGGCUGAGACUAGACACUUCCGAAAUAUUUCAUUAUCUUUUAUAUAUCAAGAUUGAUAUUUUAAAUGCCAAUUCUGUAUGUAAUUGCUUUGGUACUCUCUGAUAUAUUCCUUUGCCAUUGGUCCCUUUUGCAAACACUUUUUCUCACACAACUUUCGUCAACUGUAUAUACUGUAUAGCCACGAAAUAGAACCAAAUAAAUAUUUUUGUAAUACGUUUUAUGUUCCUGAGUAAAUCUUAUGUGAUUAUCGUAUGUGUGCGCGAUUCGCUUGUAUUUGUUUGGUAGUGUUAAGUAGUAUUUAUUUAUCUGUCUAGCAGAAGAAAAUACUUGGAAGUACAUAAUGUAAAAUAUUUUUAACAAAGUCUAAAUUUUACCAUAGGGACCGCUGUUAAUAUGUUAAGGAAUAACUUAUCAACCUAUACCUACCUAUACACCGUCAAGUAAUUUUGACUUUGAUAUAAAUAUAAUGUAGCCGCUAAGUCAUACUGUCACUGUUAUACUACCACGGUUUUACUUAUUUAUCAAUACUAAUACAAAAAGAUAAACUUUUAUCAUCUAUGUCACACAAUCAGUGGGGGCAUGUGCGCCCAUUGGGGCAACUGCGUUAACCUGCGUUAGAUACAUCCGACUAGACAAUUUGUCAGGCUUUGGCAUAAAAAUUCAGUCGCCAUUAAAUGUAAGAAGUCAUGUUGCGCCAUCUAGUUUUAUUUCUGAAUUGCUACUAGAUAUUAUCACACAUAUUUCGUGCGUCUAUUAUAAUCCACUUGUCUAUGUCAAUACUUUAGCUCUUAGACCGCCAAAGAUGUCAAUUGACGCGCGCUACAGCCCAAUAUUAACCUUUUGUGCAUGCAGACAAGGUUCACAAUGACGCGCCGCGCACGAUAGGCGUGGUGUUCAAAGGGUUAAUGAACAACGACAAAUUUACUCGCAAUGUCACUUUGUGAUUUGUCAGUACGUUGUGUCGCUGCUUGACUUUCGUUUAACAUAUACUUAAUCACACAAACGGGUCUACCGCGAUAUAAUUUCAUUGUUUUUACCCUAAAUUCCGUCUUGGUCUUUCCGUGACCACAGCUGGUGCAACUCAGCUGAAACGUCGGAAUUCAAGGUAAAAACAAUGAAAUUAUAUCGUGGUAGACCCGUUUGUGUGAUUAAAUAUGUGUACAAAACGCGAGAGUUCAAAGUGUUAUAUUUCGUUUAACAUAUAGAGGGUAGAUAUAGAGAUGCCACCAGAGCAACUCGAUAACGAAUAAUGGCAUUAGGUUAAACCGUGGUUGUAUAACGGCUACUACUAUACUAAGAUUGUUUAUCCAAAUCAAUAGACAACUUGCAAUAAUCAGCCUUUUAGAAUAAACAAAUGCAUAUAUGUAUACUUAUUUUUUACAUGCUAGCAAUAGUGCCGGUUUGCGUUUGUUUUGAUGUCGCGUUCGCUAGUGUAGAUUGAAAUAAGCUUUUAUCACGAAAUAUAUAGAUUUUCGUUGUUUAUACAUUAAUCCGAUCGGUCCGGCAACUAAACACUUAUAGCAUUAUGAUUUGUCAUGUUAUAACUAUGUUUUGAUGUAUAAGGAAUGCUUAAAACGUACUACGAUCUUCAUAAGGAUUAUAGUUGUUUCAAGCUGAAAAAUAUAAUGUAAUUUUAUCAAUGUCCGUCUAAUAUAGUAAUUUUAGCUACUCGUCGUCUAAAUAACGAAAUAAAAUGACGAAUUAAAAAACAACCCAUUAACCCUUUCACCGCCCUUGACAUACGAGUCAAAUAGUAUUGAGAGAUAUUUCUAUAGAGUCAAACAAGUCAACUUUGCCAUUGAAUGCUAAUUUGCCCGCUAACCUAAAAUGAUCAUAUUAUAAAUAAGCCAAUGAUGUAUCAUAGAGUUCUACCUAAACAAGCUUUGCCUUAUAUGACGAGGUAUGAAAUAAUCGAAAUUGAGUUUAAUACAUCAAUAACUACUUUAGGUACAAACCUUACUCAUUAGCUGCCGGACUGUUUGCGUGCGAAGCCAGAAGGACGUAUACGCAUUAUAACGACGAACAUAAUAUGACCUUUAACCUUAGUACGAUAGUGUAUAGUUACUGUAUACUUGUUGUAUCGUCGAAUUUGAACACUGAAGCUAAGGCCGUUUUUCCCCUGUCAACCGUUAUAUGUCUACACUUGCGUUUUUAGCUUCAUGUUGCUUUAAUUUUAAAACUGUCAAAAUUUUAUAUUAUAGCGUUUUAUUUUUAUAGAUAGGUACUUCUGCAAUUGAUAAACUGCAUUUUAUAAUGUCCAAUCUACUAUACAAUCUGCAUUAAAAUAACAGUUGGAAUAUGCAUAUUGGGUAGUAGAUUAACCAAUCGAACUAUUGUUUAUCCUAUCCCUGAUAAAGACAGAUCUAUUCAGAGAAAUGGCGGGCAUGUUUCGUUCAGUGCAUAAACGGCCUUAGAGUUAGUUUAUAAUACAACGUACGCUUAAGUCUCCAUACGCGGUACCUGCAAUUUCUUUUCUAACAAUAUACAACAAUAGUAAUAGGUUCGUGUAAACAAAUGUAUGUAUUUUAACGUGCUAGGUAUUUAUUGUUUGUAUUUUUGCACGCUCAAUAAUAUAAAAGAAAUCUCGAAAUAUUACAUUUUCGACCAUAUUUCCGUCAAUUCAAGGUUUAAUUUGGUAUGUCUUUGUAUUAUUGAGCGUGCGCUUUGUAGAUCAAUUAAUUCGAUUUGACUGCGUUUAGGAGAUUAACAUAAUGUAAGUAGAUAUUUUGCACCUUAGCUUAAGGGAAAGUAGCCUGCAGGAACAUAAUCAAAACUCCAUGAAAACGUAAUGCCCUUAACAUUGUGAUUAGUAUCUCAAUAAAAAUCUCAUUUUAAUAUUGCCUUUGUAUCCAGUAGUGGUUUAGAUGAGUUUUACAGUUGUUAUAAUCGAAUUCAUUGCAGGUAUGCAAUAGUAUUCAUAGGUCCUAUUAACCCUUUUAGCGCGCAUAUCUGGCUAUCCGCUAUGUUGUGGUCAUGAAAUUAUGGUGUAAGUAUGUACUCGUAGCGAAAAAAUCUACGAAAUACCUUGAUGCGAUGUAGAGCCAUGCGCGCUGAAACAGUUAAUUUCUAUCAAAUGGAAUAACCUGAAAUUUAUUAUAACUUUGCCCGGGUUACUUUAAACUACUCGACAUGUUUUUACCUUCUGAUUGGGCAAUGUCAUGUGACAUUUUGAAUUUCGUUGUAUUCUCGAAUUAUGCAGUUGUUACUGAGAUGGUAAAAAUAAGAAAUUUCGGAAACUGACAUGGGCAAAGUUAAAACAUAUCCUCUUUUUGGCACUAUCAAAAUAAUUUAAUGAAAUAUGGUGCCGUUGAUAAAUUGUACACCAGUACACGAUAAUAGGUACUAACUGACAUUCGCUGGCAGAUUGUGUAGAGGUUUGGAAUGAAUGAAAUACUUAACGAUUGAUUGACGUAUUAACAUUGAUCUAUAUUAAGUUCUCACUUCUUUGUGGCUAUGAUUUAGUAGCUGCUCCUCGGGAAAAUAAACUCACGUAAAACGACUUACUAUGUAGUAUAUUGCAUAUGUUACUAUACGUACAUAUAUACGUCUAGUUCUCCGUCUAUUUAUCCUUUUCAGAUCCCAUUCAUAUUGUUAGCAACAAGUAUCUAAUGGUAAAAUUUUGUAGACUAUUUAUUAAUAGUUAUUUUUAAGUUUAUCACAUGAAUUCCUGAUCAAUUUGUGGAGAUAAAGCGAAUUCUUAGCAUUUAUAAAAUAAUACAUCUCUGCGUUAAACUAGAAAGACCUACGAAUAUAUAAUAUUGAUUUAAACCUCAAUACAGUCACUUCUUAUAACAUUUACAUCGAAUCGCACCAAAAUAUACUCUGGCAAGCGGACUUUGUCAGUAGAAAAAAGCGCGAAAUUCUAAAUUUCCAUGGAAAAUCGAUUCUUUGCGCGUAAAUUUUUCAAUUAUACCACAUAAUUUCCUACUGACAAAUCUGGCUUGCUAGAGUAUAUCUGACACUCUUAUUUGUCACACGAGCGUGUCAUAUAUUUUGCAAGCUUUUGACGCUUUGUCGUCCGAGAUAUUAGAGGUGACUGUACAAUGUCUAUUAGAGAAGGAUAUGUAAAGUUGUUCAAAGAUAUUAGCGUCGGCUAUCGAAAGUGUUAGGCAAAUAGAAAAUUGUAAUAAUUAUUAGUGUCGGUGUCUAUUUGUUUAGUCUUUCGCGAGACAAGCUCGUAAAGGAAGUGCGAAUUAAAAUUAGAAAAUUGCUACCUCUAAAUGCCUGUAAAAUGUUCACAUUUUGCUGUCCAAUACGUGUUUCGUGAUACAUACCACUAAUGUUAAAAGCGAAAUAAACAUGAAGAAAUUUUGACUCUUA